rnacentral:rRNA from 1 species
AUCCAGACUCCUACGGGAGGCAGCAGUGGGGGAUAUUGCACAAUGGGGGGAACCCUGAUGCAGCGACGCCGCGUGGGUGAAGGAGUAUUUCGGUAUGUAAAGCCCUAUCGGCAGGGAAGAAGCAAGACGGUACCUGAAGAAGAAGCCCCGGCUAACUACGUGCCAGCAGCCGCGGUAAUACGUAGGGGGCAAGCGUUAUCCGGAUUUACUGGGUGUAAAGGGGGCGCAGACGGCGAUGCAAGCCAGGAGUGAAAGCCCGGGGCCCAACCCCGGGACUGCUCUUGGAACUGCGUGGCUGGAGUGCAGGAGGGGCAGGCGGAAUUCCUGGUGUAGCGGUGAAAUGCGUAGAUAUCAGGAGGAACACCGGUGGCGAAGGCGGCCUGCUGGACUGCAACUGACGUUGAGGCCCGAAAGCGUGGGGAGCAAACAGGAUUAGAUACCCGCGUA